AGUGAAUAGGCCCAAGCGACUGUUUAGCAAAAACACAGGUCUCUGCGAAGCCGUAAGGCGAAGUAUAGGGGCUGACACCUGCCCGGUGCUGGAAGGUUAAGGAGAGGGGUUAGCGUAAGCGAAGCUCUGAACUGAAGCCCCAGUAAACGGCGGCCGUAACUAUAACGGUCCUAAGGUAGCGAAAUUCCUUGUCGGGUAAGUUCCGACCUGCACGAAUGGCGUAAUGAUGGCCAGGCUGUCUCCACCCGAGACUCAGUGAAAUUGAACUCGCUGUGAAGAUGCAGUGUACCCGCGGCAAGACGGAAAGACCCCGUGAACCUUUACUAUAGCUUGACACUGAACAUUGAGCCUUGAUGUGUAGGAUAGGUGGGAGGCUUUGAAGCGUGGACGCCAGUCUGCGUGGAGCCAUCCUUGAAAUACCACCCUUUAAU
rnacentral:rRNA from 1 species